GACGAACGCUGGCGGCGUGCUUAACACAUGCAAGUCGAGCGAGCGACGAACUGGGGAGUAACGCGGGGUAGCCUGCCCCCCGCUCUGUGAUAACAGUUGGAAACUGCCUCUAAUACCCGAUACGGUGAGGUGUGCUCGCGUCCUAUAAGCUUGUUGGUGGGGUAGUGGCCGACCAAGGCGACGAAGGGUAGCCGGCCUGAGAGGGCGACCAGCCACACUGGAACUGAGACACGGUCCAGACUCCUACGGGAGGCAGCAGUGGGGAAUAUUGCACAAUGGGCGCAAGCCUGAUGCAGCCAUGCCGCGUGUAUGAAGAAGGCCUUCGGGUUGUAAAGUACUUUCAGCGAGGAGGCGUUACUCGCAGAAGAAGCACCGGCUAACUCCGUGCCAGCAGCCGCGGUAAUUC
rnacentral:rRNA from 1 species